AAACCAACAGGGAUUGCCUUAGUAACGGCGAGUGAAGCGGCAAAAGCUCAAAUUUGAAAUCUAGCACUUUCAGUGUUCGAGUUGUAAUUUGAAGAAGGUAACUUUGGAAUUGGCUCUUGUCUAUGUUCCUUGGAACAGGACGUCACAGAGGGUGAGAAUCCCGUGCGAUGAGAUGUCCAAUUCUAUGUAAAGUGCUUUCGAAGAGUCGAGUUGUUUGGGAAUGCAGCUCUAAGUGGGUGGUAAAUUCCAUCUAAAGCUAAAUAUUGGCGAGAGACCGAUAGCGAACAAGUACAGUGAUGGAAAGAUGAAAAGAACUUUGAAAAGAGAGUGAAAAAGUACGUGAAAUUGUUGAAAGGGAAGGGCUUGAGAUCAGACUUGGUAUUUUGUGUUCCUUAUCCUUCUUGGAUUAGGUUCUUCACAGCUUACCGGGCCAGCAUCGGUUUGGAUGGCAGGAUAAUGACAUUGGAAUGUAGCUUUGCUUCGGUGAAGUGUUAUAGACUUUGUUGAUACUGCC
rnacentral:rRNA from 1 species